rnacentral:lncRNA from 1 species
GGGCCUUCACUUCUGGACCAUUGGAUCGCUUCCUGGAUGAAGGAUCUGGUCAACUGGUUGGCGCCUUCAUCUGGACCAUUGGAUGGCUUUCUGGAUGAAGGAUCUGGUCCACUGGUUAGCGCCUGAAGUUGGACCACUGGAUGGCUCUCUGGAUGAAAGAUCUGGACCGUUGCUCAGCGCCUGAAUCUGGACCACUGGAUGGCUCUCUGGAUGAAAGAUCUGGACCGUUGCUCAGCGCCUGAAUCUGGACCAUCGGUGAUGGCAUCUUACUUCUGGACCAUUGGAUGGCAGCCUGGAUGAUGAUGUCUUGAUCUGGACCAUUAGAUGGCACCUAGAUCUGGACCAUUGGCUUUGGUUCACUGCAUUUGGGCCCUUGGAUCAUCAUGAUUUAAGAGGAAGAUGUGAGAAAGAAGUUGAUACAC